CAAAGUCGACCACGUGAAAAAAACUUUUCGAGUUUCUUUUGAUAGAAUUAAUAUCCAUUAAUUCUUAACAACUCUUCUCACCAAAGGACGAUAAUAAAUGACCAAUAUAAACAAACAAUAAAAAUUGUACAUACUGUACCACUUAUAACAACCGGAGUAAAACAUAACCUGCUGCAAUUUACAUAAAUCAAAGUUCUAAAAAAGUAUCAUCCUUGUGUCGUUUUCGGUCGUGACUUUUUGCCUUUUCUUGUGAUUCCAAUUCUAUGCAGGAAAACUGUAUUUUGACAGCUCAUAUUUAACAACCAACGAACCUUGGCUUACAACAUUAUAUAGGCAAGGUGGUAUUUUGUCCGGCAACGAGUAUAGUUCACCUGUCAGUUUGAGAUCUUUUAUUUUAAGAAAGCAACGAGUGAAUGCUGAUAGAUUGUCGAAUUGAAGAAGAGGAUAUAGAUUGUCCAAUUGAAGAAGAGGAUAUAACUGUGAAGAGGAAGAGGAUUAUGAUGCCCUAGACAAUGAGACGUUUGGCUCUGAUGUAACAGCAUAAUGGAAUUAUAUUUUCGCUUUUGGUGCUGGAUGAAACGGAUUGGAUUGUACCAAAGCCUGGCGUCUUGUACAGUUCCUCAAAUUUGCCUGUUCGGCGUCAGAAGUUUGCUCAAACUUAGAUAUUAGUGAAAAAUGUUUGCAUCGUAGAGAAAUUUAAUAUAUCUCCAUUUGACAGUCGAGAGAACAUUGACUACGGUGAAAGCUUACAAAUCUGACGGUGAUAUGGAUACUGUGAGCCAAGUAUCGAUGGAAGGAUAUGGAUAUAUGGAUAUUGAGAGUCAAGCAUCGAUGGAAGGAAUGUACAUGUUUCUACGUAGUGGCGAUUCUAUAUACUUGAUCACGAGGGCAGUCCGAAUAGUUAAGCGAUUUCAUUGUUGGUUCCUAUUGUGACUUUGCUAUCGUAUUCAGUGUAAACACAGCCACUACCAUCAGACAAUUGUCAUGGAAUCUCGUUGUAUCUCUCGAGAGCAAGUACAUAGGCAAAGAAGUUUUGAUUGCGAGAACAAACUCGGAAGAUGAUCUGAAAACAAUUGUAUCAGUAUCAAAAAAAAAGUACCGAUUCUUUAUUUCGUAUUGAAAGAAGUGGAGCUCAGAAGAAAUUUACCAAUUUAUUUAGGAUCUGUUUGGAGCCAACAUGAAACAUCUAGUUUUGAUUUGCUAACGCAGGCAGAAACUUUAGACAGUGUAAAAAUUUACGAGUGUUACCCAUGAAUGCUUGUCUAGAGUAUUUCAUGCUCGGGCAAUUAUUGGACAACGAGAAAAACGUGAACGACAAAUAAUCGAAUUUCUAUUUCCUGGUUCAACUGAGCUUGGGUUUGAAUCGAUGUUUAGAUAUUUAAGCGACGUGCUUUAUUCAACAGAUUUAUUUCGAUAUGUCCAAACUUCAAUCUUCUUAGUUUAUUAGAUUGUCAAAUUAAUUUUCAUUCAGGACUGUACAAAAAGUUUUAUCCGAACAAUGGCUCAGUCAAGCAAGCAUCAGAAUCAGUGCCAUUGAUUAACGUUCUGAGCUACAUAAGAAAGCAAACGAAAUAUUGGAAUCACGUUAAUUUCGGUAGUACGUUGAUCGAUGAAGUCGCGUUGGGAUCUUUGCCAACGGCAGAAAAUUUGAAACUUGAAUUAUUGUGAUUGCCAUCGUCCGAUAAAAUUACGAGCG